rnacentral:rRNA from 1 species
GAUGAACGCUGGCGGCGUGCCUAAUACAUGCAAGUCGAGCGAACGGACGAGAAGCUUGCUUUUCUGAUGUUAGCGGCGGACGGGUGAGUAACACGUGGAUAACCUACCUAUAAGACUGGGAUAACUUCGGGAAACCGGAGCUAAUACCGGAUAAUAUUUUGAACCGCAUGGUUCAAAAGUGAAAGAAGGUCUUGCUGUCACUUAUAGAUGGAUCCGCGCUGCAUUAGCUAGUUGGUAAGGUAACGGCGUACCAAGGCAACGAUGCAUAGCCGACCUGAGAGGGUGAUCGGCCACACUGGAACUGAGACGCGGUGCAGAAUCCUACGGGAGGAAGCAGUAGGGAAUCUUCCGCAAUGGGCGAAAGCAUGAUGGUGCAACGACGCGUGAGUGAUGAUGGUCUUCGGAUCGUAGAACUCUGUUAUUAGGGAAGAACAUAUGUGUAAGUAACUGUGCAUAUCUUGACGGUACCUAAUCAGAAAGCCACGGCUAACUACGUG